rnacentral:rRNA from 1 species
GACGAACGCUGGCGGCGUGCUUAACACAUGCAAGUCGAACGGAAAGGCCCUGCUUUUGUGGGGUGCUCGAGUGGCGAACGGGUGAGUAACACGUGAGUAACCUGCCCUUGACUUUGGGAUAACUUCAGGAAACUGGGGCUAAUACCGGAUAGGAGCUCCUGCUGCAUGGUGGGGGUUGGAAAGUUUCGGCGGUUGGGGAUGGACUCGCGGCUUAUCAGCUUGUUGGUGGGGUAGUGGCUUACCAAGGCUUUGACGGGUAGCCGGCCUGAGAGGGUGACCGGCCACAUUGGGACUGAGAGACGGCCCAGACUCCUACGGGAGGCAGCAGUGGGGAAUAUUGCACAAUGGGCGGAAGCCUGAUGCAGAAACGCCGCGUGCGGGAUGACGGCCUUCGGGUUGUAAACCGCUUUCGCCUGUGACGAAGCGUGAGUGACGGUAAUGGGUAAAGAAGCACCGGCUAACUACGUG